rnacentral:rRNA from 1 species
ACGAACGCUGGCGGCGUGCUUAACACAUGCAAGUCGAACGGAAAGGCCCUGCUUUUGUGGGGUGCUCGAGUGGCGAACGGGUGAGUAACACGUGAGUAACCUGCCCUUGACUUUGGGAUAACUUCAGGAAACUGGGGCUAAUACCGGUAGGAGCUCCUGCUGCAUGGGGGGGGGUGGAAAGUUUCGGCGGUUGGGGAUGGACUCGCGGCUUAUCAGCUUGUUGGUGGGGUAGUGGCUUACCAAGGCUUUGACGGGUAGCCGGCCUGAGAGGGUGACCGGCCACAUUGGGACUGAGAUACGGCCCAGACUCCUACGGGAGGCAGCAGUGGGGAAUAUUGCACAAUGGGCGGAAGCCUGAUGCAGCAACGCCGCGUGCGGGAUGACGGCCUUCGGGUUGUAAACCGCUUUCGCCUGUGACGAAGCGUGAGUGACGGUAAUGGGUAAAGAAGCACCGGCUAACUACGUG